ensembl:lncRNA
CUGGACAAGUUAGAAGGAGAAGAGGUUUAUUUGACUCACAGUUUUGCAGACUGUACAAGAAGCAUGGGGCCAGCAUCUGCUUCUGAUCUUGAAUCCACGUUGAUAUACUGGGAGCUGGUCUCGACAAUAAAGGUAUGUUGAGGGUACAGGGAUGCCCAAGAACACACACCCAUACAAACAAACAAGUUUUACAAAACUCAAACUAUAAAGCACUCAGCAGUGCUCAGAGUGCUUGAGGAGCACAGAGGAUUCUCUGGCGGGUGGGUUAAGGAGCUACCAUCUCCUGCUUCUCUACCUGUAGAAGAAUAAAUGUACAAUUGGUAUAUGCAUGUUGUUGUUGUUUUGCUGUAGAAUCCUACAGGAAAUCCUAGUAAUACUGCAUAGGAACACUUUUGCUCAAAACUCCUCUCAGGUAAGGCUCUCACCUCCUUGGAGCACUCAGCUACUAAUUUAUCGAAACCAUUAGUACUCCCCAUUAACACACCUCAGGGCCACUCUUCACAAGCAUCACUAACCAAAGAGCCACAUGCCUCUGAGUGUUGUUUAAUAUGUUGUUAUAAUAUGGAAAUAAGAGGCCAUGAGGGGUCCUGGGAGCCUGUGCUGGGGCUGUCCAUGCCCCAUCUGUACCUUUCUCCCCUCAGCACUUUGGAGCCCUGGAUAUCCAGCUGCCAGCAGGUACAUUUCUUCUUCCAUAAGUUUUCUCUGGCUGCCAUGGGAUUCAUCACUCCCGGGACAACUCAGUCAAUUACAGAUGGCGAGACCCUCAGAAGUGCAUCUGCUACGCUGGCUCCUGGAUUUCUCCAGCAGGCAUCCUAUCAUCAACGGAAGUCAAUUUCAUCCGCCUGAUGGGAAAACACCAUAUCCUUCUUAAAUGGAAUUGCCCCCUCUGAAACCGAUGUUCCAUACAAGCAAAUGACCAACUGUGCUGGCGCUGUCACAGGAUUAAAAAUGACGAUCCUAUCUCAUGCUUCUACCACUGCUCAUCAUUUCUAAGCCAUCAACAUACAGAAACCACUUGAUCUGCUUCUGAUUCGAGUCUCUUCAGGAGUGGAAGCGUAAUGGCCAGGGACACCAAUAGCUCACAGCUCCUGCACGCCUGUGAGGGAGGGAACAUCCACCCCAGAGCCUGGGAUCAACUCUGCUCUGCAGAAAUCGCCCUAAGAUAUUAAAUGUCCACAAAAAGCAGAUUGGAGCCUUGCUUCUCAGUGUUCUUCCUCCAAAGGCCUCUUACUUCCAGCAGCUGGGGAUCAGCCCCAACUGCCUCUGAAGGAGGAAAGGCCGAGUUGAUUUAGUUUUUGUUCCAGCUGGAUGGAGGCUUUGCUCUGACUCCAACUCAGAAGGAUGGGGCGCAGCCUGGGUGGGAGCAAAAAGGUUCUCUUCAUAGCCCUGCUGCUGGCGUGGGCUGCUCUUUUCACUCUCUGGACCUGUCUCCCCAUCUGUGGAAUGGGGCAAGGAUGCUGACCACCAGAUAAAUCUUUGAGAUUUAAUUUCCACGUACAAGACUUUAAAAUCCAGAGCAAAAGGGAUAAUUUGAAUAUAAAGCACUGUUAGUAUUUUGGACCCACUUCUGCCAGUACUCUGUUGUUCCCUGCUCUAGAGUCUUCUCCAGGGUUUCGUUCAGAAGCUGCUGCUGCUGUCUCACAAUACCCACAUGGCUCAGCCUCCAGCUCCCAGUGUCUGAGAAGGUGACUGUCCAUAUAGCAUGGGGACAGCCCAGUUUGCUGCACUGAUAAUUUUGCUCAUUAAUACUUGAAAAUACACACAGAGAUAAUGAUUUCUCAUAAAUACCGGGACGCUUUCUGCUUUAGAAUGAAAGCAAAAGACCUCCUUCACUGUAUGUCCCAUUACGAUGUAUGCAUCCUGGUCAUUUUACCUUUCUGUAAGAAACCCAAGGGACAGAGGGGCCAGAGGCUGUGCUGCUCCCAGUGGCUGCAGUGCUUGGAAUUUAUGAGGUUGGAAGGCUGUCAGCUAUUCAGGAUCACAGAGCUCAGGGGCUGACAACGGGAAGGGAGUCUCUUUACUAUUACCUCUCAUACAUUGACUCCAUAAAUAUCUUUUUUUAUUAUUAUUUCUGCUGUUUGUAGAUUUCAUUUAUGGAUGUGGUUAAUGCUGCAUCUGAAUGUUAAGGGAAUUACUAUCCUUGUUAAGAAUCUGACCUAUUGGGGAGAUUUGCUGAGGCUUUUCUCCCCACCGCAAUAAACACGUCUGGUAGAUGGCAAGGGGCUUAUUUUUCCCCUGGAUACCCUGGUGAGUAUUUGGGGGGAAUGACUUUUAAGAACCAGAGAGAGCAUUCCCU